rnacentral:pre_miRNA from 1 species
AGACUGGUUAAUGAUAACAAUGCAUCAUAAAACCUUCAGAAGGAAAGAAGUGUUUUGUGGACCAUUUGUUUCUUUUUUUGUGUGGCAGUUUUAAAUUAUUAGUUUUUAAAAUCAGU